rnacentral:ncRNA from 2 species
GGUAGAGCCGAGCCAUGCUCGGCUGCGGUUCGCGUGCUACCCGUGAAUGCAGCCGAGCAUGGCUCGGCUCUACA